GAUGAACGCUGGCGGCGUGCCUAACACAUGCAAGUCGAGCGAUUCUCUUCGGAGAAGAGCGGCGGACGGGUGAGUAACGCGUGGGUAACCUGCCCUGUACACACGGAUAACAUACCGAAAGGUAUGCUAAUACGAGAUAAUAUGCUUUUAUCGCAUGGUAGAAGUAUCAAAGCUCCGGCGGUACAGGAUGGACCCGCGUCUGAUUAGCUAGUUGGUAAGGUAACGGCUUACCAAGGCGACGAUCAGUAGCCGACCUGAGAGGGUGAUCGGCCACAUUGGAACUGAGACACGGUCCAAACUCCUACGGGAGGCAGCAGUGGGGAAUAUUGCACAAUGGGCGAAAGCCUGAUGCAGCAACGCCGCGUGAGCGAUGAAGGCCUUCGGGUCGUAAAGCUCUGUCCUCAAGGAAGAUAAUGACGGUACUUGAGGAGGAAGCCCCGGCUAACUACGUGCCAGCCGCCGCGGUAA
rnacentral:rRNA from 1 species